rnacentral:lncRNA from 1 species
AACAACUAAAUAUAUGAAAAUAAAAAAUACCAAGAAUAUUCUAAGUUCCGUUAGUAUUAAUAUAAAUAAGAGAAGAAUCUAUUGAUGGUGUAUAAUCCUCCCAAAAUAUUAUUAGCGAUAAACACAUUUUUUCUAUCAAAAAAAUGGCAGAAACUAAUGACAACCAAUGUGGUCUUCAAUAAAGUGUUCAAGAACCUUUAAAUUUUUUCUUUUCAUUUUCUGCAAGUAUGACUUUGGUUACAUUUCUUUUAAAUACCAUCUUCAAGACUUUCUCAUUAUAAACUUUGGUUUUCCAAUUCAACAAUUUCUAUUAUACUACUCCAGUUAACAAAUGCAAUCAUUAAUCCUUCAACUAAAUGAAUAAAAAAAAUUUAUAAAAAGCCAAAUCACAUUACAUUAUUUAACUAAACCAGCAAACUAUGCUUUGAAAAUACACCCGCACGUACGUGCGGGUUAUCAUCUAGUU